rnacentral:rRNA from 1 species
GAUUAACGCUGGCGGCGUGCAUAACACAUGCAAGUCGAACGAUGAAACUUAAAUGAUUUCUUCGGAAUGAACUUAAGUGGAUUAGUGGCGGACGGGUGAGUAACGCGUGAGUAACCUGCCUUACACAAGGGGAUAGCCGUUGGAAACGACGAAUAAUACCCUAUGAAACUAUCACUUCGCAUGAAGCGAUAGUCAAAGUGUUAGCGGUGUAAGAUGGACUUGCGUCUGAUUAGCUAGUUGGUGAGAAAAAAGCCCACCAAGGCAACGAUCAGUAGCCGGCUUGAGAGAGUGUACGGCCACAUUGGGACUGAGACACGGCCCAGACUCCUACGGGAGGCAGCAGUGGGGAAUUUUGCACAAUGGGGGAAACACUGAUGCAGCGACGCCGCGUGAUUUAGAAGGCCUUCGGGUUGUAAAAAUCUUUUGUAUAGGAAGAAAAUGAAAGUACUAUACGAAUAAGGUCCGGCUAAUUACGU